CGGCACGACCAGUUCGGUGUGUAGAAUUUGCAUAUAUAAAAUGCAACAGUUGAGCUAUUAAAGCAGAGUUGCUGUGAUUGUGUCAAGGAUUUUAUCAUAUCGAAAAAAUGUCGAAGAAAGAAAUAACCUGCAAAUAUGACCAUGUUAGACAACGCCCACCACCCUCCAGCUCACCAGCAGCAGAUAACACUGACAGAGCCAGUAGUGCGGGAGCAUCAGUUCCAAGAACGGGACCCAAAAAAGAAAAUGCAUGACUAUUCACACAACCUUCACAUCAUAGAAAGGGACAUCAAAGCAAAAUUCCUCUAAUUUCACUAUGAUAUGAAAUGUAACAAAAUGUAAAAAAAAUAAAUAAAUCUUUAAACCUAAAGAAA